rnacentral:rRNA from 1 species
AGUCGAACGGCAGCACGGACUUCGGUCUGGUGGCGAGUGGCGAACGGGUGAGUAAUGUAUCGGAACGUACCUUUCAGUGGGGGAUAACGUAGCGAAAGUUACGCUAAUACCGCAUAUUCUGUGAGCAGGAAGCAGGGGAUCGCAAGACCUUGCGCUGAUUGAGCGGCCGAUAUCAGAUUAGCUAGUUGGUGGGGUAAAGGCCUACCAAGGCUACGAUCUGUAGCGGGUCUGAGAGGAUGAUCCGCCACACUGGAACUGAGACACGGUCCAGACUCCUACGGGAGGCGCAGUGGGGAAUUUUGGACAAUGGGGGCAACCCUGAUCCAGCCAUGCCGCGUGAGUGAAGAAGGCCUUCGGGUGUAAAGCUCUUUCGGCCGGGAAGAAAUCGCAUAGGCUAAUACCCUGUGUGGAUGACGGUACCGGAAUAAGAAGCACCGGCUAACUACGUGCCAGCAGC